GACGAACGCUGGCGGCGUGCCUAAUACAUGCAAGUAGAACGCUGAAGGAGGAGCUUGCUUCUCUGGAUGAGUUGCGAACGGGUGAGUAACGCGUAGGUAACCUGCCUGGUAGCGGGGGAUAACUAUUGGAAACGAUAGCUAAUACCGCAUAAUAGUAGAUGUUGCAUGACAUUUGCUUAAAAGGUGCAAUUGCAUCACUACCAGAUGGACCUGCGUUGUAUUAGCUAGUUGGUGGGGUAACGGCUCACCAAGGCGACGAUACAUAGCCGACCUGAGAGGGUGAUCGGCCACACUGGGACUGAGACACGGCCCAGACUCCUACGGGAGGCAGCAGUAGGGAAGCUUCGGCAAUGGACGGAAGUCUGACCGAGCAACGCCGCGUGAGUGAAGAAGGUUUUCGGAUCGUAAAGCUCUGUUGUAAGAGAAGAACGAGUGUGAGAGUGGAAAGUUCACACUGUGACGGUAGCUUACCAGAAAGGGACGGCUAACUACGUG
rnacentral:rRNA from 1 species